CGGGCGGGCGUGCUCGGAGCAG
rnacentral:miRNA from 1 species